AACGUAGGGGGCAAGCGUUGCCCGGAUUUACUGGGCGUAAAGCGGGUGUAGGCGGUCCGUCAAGUCGGAUGUGAAAUCCCACGGCUCAACUGUGGAAUUGCAUUCGAUACUGGCGGACUUGAGGACGGUAGAGGCCGGUGGAAUUCCCGGUGCACCGGUGAAAUGGGCAGAUAUCGGGAGGAACACCAGUGGCGAAGGCGGCCGGCUGGGCCGAUCCUGACGCUGAGACCCGAAAGCCAGGGGAGCGAACCGG
rnacentral:rRNA from 1 species